GCCAGCAGCCAUAUCACUCUGCAACUCAAAGCUGGCAGCCCACUGGAGCUCAGCAGGUGUGAGCCUGGUCAGUACCUGGAUGGGAGACUCCUGGGAAAAACUAAGGUUGCUGCUGGAA
rnacentral:rRNA from 1 species